CCCUGUCUCUAAAUAAAAACAAAAAGGGCUGGGAUGUGGCUCAGUGGUCAAGCACCCCUGAGAUCAAUCUGUAGCGCACCCCCCCACACACACACACAUGGAAUCAGAACCUCUGACAGCGUGUUAUCCCUUGGCCAGACAGAGCUGAGGUACAAAUGGCCCCUGCCCUGCCCCACAUGCCCAUCCUUCCUCUGCACUAAGUACUGGGCCCACAGACAUUGAGUGUGAGACCCUGGUCUAGGUUGCUUCUCGGGUCUUCAUCUAGGGGACAGACCUCCCAGAGCAGCCAGAACAACAGCUAUCUGCCUCCGCGCGGGGUGAGGACAAGCAUCUCACUAUCCCAACACCUGGCACCGAGAAGCACAUGUCCGCUGACUUGAUUCCUGAGAAUCUGAAUUUCACAUGAGAAGGGCUGAAUGGGGCUCCACCGUGGUGCACAGACACGAGGGAGAACUGGCCCAGAUCUUAACUCGCUGUCGCCCACCUGUUUGGACUUGGGGAUAUGCUCCAGGACCCCCGGUGACACCCCAGACUGCAGAUGGUACCAAACCCUAUAGAUACUAUAUUUUUCUAAACCUUUCGACUUUGCACUUAAAGGAAGCACUUUGCAGAUUCUCUGUGGCACAUCCUAAUUGCCAGCAUCAUGGAUCUCAAGCUCUGCAGCCAUUACUGAGUAAAAUAGGGGUCACCUGAACAAAGACCCUAUGACACUAUGAUUCAGAAACUGUCAAUCUGAUGCCCAAGACAGCUACCACGUGACUAACAGGCAUAGUGUACACACAGCAUGGAUACUCUGGAAAAACGAAUGAUGCACUUCCAAGAUCAGGAAGUAGGAGAUGCUGCAUGUCAUCACAUGGCUCAGAACAACACUCAGAGUAAAACUCAAGAGCUGUGGCUGUGGCUUAGUGGUAGAGCACUUGCCUAGCAAGUGUGAAGUACUGGGUUCGAUUCUCAGCUCAGUAGUGGAGCACUUUUCUAGCAUCCUCAAGGCCCUGGACUUAACCCCCAGCACUGUAGAAAUAAAUAAAUCUCAUGAAUUGUU